GGGGGCAGAGAGAGGGGCAGAGAGAGUGGUGGCUCUCCUGUUGCUCUUUUCAUAAGUGUCUCUUUAUAAUUCAGCUGGAGUCUAUGAGUCUAUGAAGUGUCUGUGCUCAGACCAGCUCAGGCUGAGCUGCACUGUACUGGGCUGUACUUUACUGGGCUGUACUGGGCUAUACUUUACUGGGCUGUACUGGGCUGUACUGGGCUGUACUGGGCUGUACUAGACUGUACUGGGCUGUACUGGGCUGUACUAGACUGUACUGGGCUGUACUAGACUGUACUGGGCUGUACUGGGCUGUACUAGACUGUACUGGGCUGUACUAGACUGUACUAGACUGUACUAGACUGUACUAGACUGUACUGGGCUGUACUAGACUGUACUGGGCUGUACUAGACUGUACUAGACUGUACUAGACUGUACUGGGCUGUACUGGGCUGUACUAGACUGUACUAGACUGUACUGGGCUGUACUAGACUGUACUAGACUGUACUGGGCUGUACUAGACUGUACUAGACUGUACUGGGUUGUACUAGACUGUACUGGGCUGUACUAGACUGUACUGGGCUGUACUAGACUGUACUGGGCUGUACUAGACUGUACUAGACUGUACUGGGCUGUACUAGACUGUACUGGGCUGUACUAGACUGUACUGGGCUGUACUAGACUGUACUAGACUGUACUAGACUGUACUGGGCUGUACUAGACUGUACUAGACUGUACUGGGCUGUACUAGACUGUACUGGGCUGUACUAGACUGUACUAGACUGUACUAGACUGUACUGGGCUGUACUAGACUGUACUAGACUGUACUGGGCUGUACUAGACUGUACUGGGCUGUACUAGACUGUACUAGACUGUACUGGGCUGUACUAGACUGUACUAGACUGUACUGGGCUGUACUAGACUGUACUGGGCUGUACUAGACUGUACUAGACUACUAGACUGUACUGGGCUGUACUAGACUGUACUAGACUGUACUGUGCUGUACUGGGCUGUACUGGGCUGUACUAGACUGUACUAGACUGUACUGGGCUGUACUGGACUGACUGGACUGACUGGACUGACUAGACGGUGGAAUAGAGGCAGUAGUUAUACAGCAGUAUUGCUGGACUGACUGGACUGACUAGACGGUGGAAUGGAGGCAGUAGUUAUACAGCAGUAUUGCUGGACUGACUGGACUGACUAGACGGUGGAAUAGAGGCAGUAGUUAUACAGCAGUAUUGCUGGACUGACUGGACUGACUAGACGGUGGAAUAGAGGCAGUGGAAUGAAUGAGGGGAGUUAUUCCAACACAGAAGAACUCAUGCUAGGAAGGGAGAACCCCAGACAUCUCCAGCCAAAGGUACAGUAGUGAUCCCUCUGGCUUUCUCUGAAGUAUCUCUGUGACACACAUACUGAGAGGGAGUGAGCUAGCUGAGUGCAGCCACAAGGCAUGGCAAUGAGGAGAAACUAGAUACAAGGAGGAAUUGGCUGGUCCCCUGUGAGUCCUGAGUGGUGUAGAGAUGGACAGCUGGACCCUACGGGGGGACAGCUACUCCUUCCUCCGCAGCAGCGCUCCUCGCGUCUUCUCUCUGCGCCACCGUGACGGAACCCCGAACCACGUGGAGAUCUUCGACAUCACCAACAUCCCCAGCCAACGCUCAGCCAUCUCUGAGACCACCUGCCUCUGUGACAUCUUUGGGGACGACUGUGAGUCACUUUCCAGUAACCCAGCUACAGGGGCCUUCGUCCACCCUCCCGUCCCCCCACCCAGGAGGGAGGCAGCAGGGCCAGGUCAGAGCUCAGAGUCGCCCCCAGUGUUGCCCUGCGUGGUGGAUGAGCUGAACAACUCGACAAGUUCUUACCACACAGCACCAGAGAGAUUUGAGGAUUCUACAGAGAAGCUCAGUCCUCCAACGCAGAGGGAGAAUAAUUAUACUUUAUCUGAAGGCUGGGAGUCAGGAGCAUUAGCUACUGCACUAAACAACUCAUCAUCAUCGUGGACAUCUAAGAACAUCAGUCCAACACUAGAACAAGGAAACACAGCACCAACACCUGGAUGGAGGACAGAUGACUCCUCACCUGACAUGCCUAGCCUUACCUUUAACACUACAACACCUUCACCUGGCUACAGUAAUACUACAACACCUUCACCUGGCUACAGUAACACUACAUCACCUUCACCUGGCUACAGUAACACUACAUCACCUUCACCUGGCUACAGUAAUACUACAACACCUUCACCUGGCUACAGUAAUACUACAACACCUUCACCUGGCUACAGUAACACUACAACACCUUCAC
ensembl:lncRNA